rnacentral:rRNA from 1 species
UUAACACAUGCAAGUCGAACGAUGAUGCCAGCUUGCUGGUGGAUUAGUGGCGAACGGGUGAGUAACACGUGAGUAACCUGCCCUUGACUCUGGGAUAAGCCUGGGAAACUGGGUCUAAUACCGGAUAUGACUGAUCAUCGCAUGGUGGUUGGUGGAAAGCUUUUGUGGUUUUGGAUGGACUCGCGGCCUAUCAGCUUGUUGGUGGGGUAAUGGCCUACCAAGGCGACGACGGGUAGCCGGCCUGAGAGGGUGACCGGCCACACUGGGACUGAGACACGGCCCAGACUCCUACGGGAGGCAGCAGUGGGGAAUAUUGCACAAUGGGCGAAAGCCUGAUGCAGCGACGCCGCGUGAGGGAUGACGGCCUUCGGGUUGUAAACCUCUUUCAGUAGGGAAGAAGCGUAAGUGACGGUACCUGCAGAAGAAGCGCCGGCUAACUACGUGCCAGCAGCCGCGGUAAUACGUAGGGCGCAAGCGUUAUCCGGAAUUAUUGGGCGUAAAGAGCUAGUAGGCGGUAUGUCGCGUCUGCCGUGAAAGUCCGGGGCUCAACUCCGGAUCUGCGGUGGGUACGGGCAGACUAGAGUGAUGUAGGGGAGACUGGAAUUCCUGGUGUAGCGGUGAAAUGCGCAGAUAUCAGGAGGAACACCGAUGGCGAAGGCAGGUCUCUGGGCAUUAACUGACGCUGAUGAGCGAAAGCAUGGGGAGCG